GUUAGUCAUGCACGUGGUCCGGGUGGUGUAUGUAUGUAUGUCUACCGUGGACCUGCAGGCCGGCAUGGACCGGAAUGCUUUUGUGACUCAUGAUCCUUUACCAAUUUCUAUGUGAGUCAAUAACUUUAGCUCGAUAAGAUAUGAAUCGAAUAGCGACAAAACUAGCGAUAAGGAGGAUCCUCAGAAACAGCUAACAAGAGGGAAAGGAGGCUUGCUAGACCCAGAGAAAAAUACAGGACACACAGGAGCAGCAGGAAGUGAAGAGACUCCAGAGGCCACACAGGCACGCUUGAAGCAACACAUGCAGGCCAAGGCAUACAGAGUAAAUCCCGAUAUGCCUCUAUUCGAACACUCUGCUGUUCAAUCCAAGAUGCUGUUUAUAUCUAUAUCUGCAGUCAUGCCAAUAAUUAUGGAGGCGGGCCACGCCCAUCUAGUCAUCAACCUGUCACAAGAUGUGUAGCCUCGGUCCCAGGCCGAUUUUUUUUUAAU